CUACGGGUUGCUGCAGUAAGGAAUAUUGCGCAAUGGAGGCAACUCUGACGCAGCCAUGCCGCGUGCAGGAAGAAGGCCUUAUGGGUCGUAAACUGCUUUUAUUUAGGAAUAAACCCCCGAGCGUGUUCGGGGCUGAAGGUACUAAACGAAUAAGCACCGGCUAACUCCGUGCCAGCAGCCGCGGUAAUACGGAGGGUGCAAGCGUUAUCCGGAUUUAUUGGGUUUAAAGGGUGCGCAGGCGGGCUAUUAAGUCAGUGGUGAAAUCCCGGGGCUCAACUCCGGAACUGCCAUUGAUACUGAUAGUCUUGAGUUUGGUUGAAGUGGGCGGAAUGUAGCAUGUAGCGGUGAAAUGCAUAGAUAUGCUACAGAACACCAAUCGCGAAGGCAGCUCACUAAGCCAAAACUGACGCUCAUGCACGAAAGCGUGGGGAUCAAACAGGAUUAGAUACCCCGGUAGUC
rnacentral:rRNA from 1 species